rnacentral:tRNA from 1 species
GCCUGGGUGGCUCAGUCGGUUGAGCGUCCGACUUCGGCUCAGGUCACGCUCUUGCAGUCCGUGAGUUCGAGCCCCGCGUCAGGCU